rnacentral:rRNA from 1 species
UACGAAGGGGGCUAGCGUUGUUCGGAAUUACUGGGCGUAAAGGGCGCGUAGGCGGAUCGUUAAGUCAGAGGUGAAAGCCCAGGGCUCAACCCUGGAAUUGCCUUUGAUACUGGCGAUCUUGAGUACGGGAGAGGUGUGUGGAACUCCGAGUGUAGAGGUGAAAUUCGUAGAUAUUCGGAAGAACACCAGUGGCGAAGGCGGCUCACUGGCCCGGUACUGACGCUGAGGCACGAAAGCGUGGGGAGCAAACAGG